CAAAGGCUUGGUCCUGACUUUACU
rnacentral:rRNA from 1 species